rnacentral:rRNA from 1 species
GACAGCAGCAGCCGCGGGAAUACGAAGGGUGCAAGCGUUACUCGGAAUUACUGGGCGUAAAGCGUGCGUAGGUGGUGGUUUAAGUCCGUUGUGAAAGCCCUGGGCUCAACCUGGGAAUUGCAGUGGAUACUGGGUCACUAGAGUGUGGUAGAGGAUAGUGGAAUUUCCGGUGUAGCAGUGAAAUGCGUAGAGAUCGGAAGGAACAUCUGUGGCGAAGGCGACUAUCUGGGCCAACACUGACACUGAGGCACGAAAGCGUGGGGAGCAAACAGGAUUAGAUACCCCCGUAGUCCCUGUCUCUUAUAC